GAGAGAUCAGUUGGAAGAAAAAGAGUACACCUUGAGCAUGAUUUUGAAUACCCUGGAUGAAGUUAAUGUUGGCUCCAACAUCGAUAAUCCAGUUGAGAAGCUAAAAAGAGUUGGGCAAUUAUGCCAUGAUUUGCAAUCAGCUCUUGCAUCUUCUGAACAUGAAACAAAGAAAUCUAAAAGAGCAGCUGAGUUACUUCUUGCCGAGUUAAAUGAGGUGCAAGAACGAAAUGAUGGCCUCCAAGAGGAGCUA
rnacentral:misc_RNA from 1 species